rnacentral:rRNA from 1 species
GACAGAGGGUGCAAACGUUGUUCGGAAUUACUGGGCGUAAAGCGCGUGUAGGCGGCUAUGCAAGUCGGGUGUGAAAUCCCCGGGCUCAACCUGGGAACUGCAUCCGAGACUGCAUUGCUAGAGUAUGGGAGAGGGAAGCGGAAUUUCUGGUGUAGCAGUGAAAUGCGUAGAUAUCAGAAGGAACAUCAGUGGCGAAGGCGGCCUCCUGGACCAAUACUGACGAUCAGGUGCGAAAGCGUGGGGAGCAAACAGG